UACGGAGGGUGCAAGCGUUGUCCGGAACCACUGGGCGUAAAGGGCGCGUAGGCGGCUCAUGAAGGCUGUGGUGAAAGUCCGGGGCUCAACCUCGGAUCGGCCGUGGCGACUCGUGGGCUGGAGCACUGUAGAGGCGGGUGGAAUUCCGGGUGUAGCGGUGGAAUGCGUAGAGAUCCGGAAGAACACCAGUGGCGAAGGCGGCCCGCUGGGCAGUGGCUGACGCUGAGGCGCGACAGCGUGGGGAGCAAACAGG
rnacentral:rRNA from 1 species